rnacentral:rRNA from 1 species
AACGUAGGAGACAAGCGUUAUCCGGAGUUACUGGGCGUAAAGGGCGUGUAGGCGGUUCGCUAAGUCCGACGUAAAAGCCCCUGGCUAAACCGGGGGAGGUCGUCAGAUACUGGCGAACUGGAGGACGGUAGAGGAGUGUGGAAUUCCGGGUGUAGUGGUGAAAUGCGUAGAUAUCCGGAGGAACACCAGUGGCGAAGGCGACACUCUGGGCCGUACCUGACGCUAAGACGCGACAGCAUGGGGAGCGAACGGG